UUCUGAUUUACUACAGAAGCCAAUUGUGGGAACGAUACAGAGAAGAUUAGCAUGGCCCCUGCACAAGGAUGACACGCAAAUUCGUGAAGCGUUCCACAUUUUU
ensembl:snRNA U6 U6 spliceosomal RNA